rnacentral:rRNA from 1 species
GAGCGGACCGACGGGAGCUUGCUCCCUUAGGUCAGCGGCGGACGGGUGAGUAACACGUGGGUAACCUGCCUGUAAGACUGGGAUAACUCCGGGAAACCGGGGCUAAUACCGGAUGCUUGAUUGAACCGCAUGGUUCAAUCAUGAAAGGCGGCUUCGGCUGCCGUUUACAGAUGGACCCGCGGCGCAUUAGCUAGUUGGUGAGGUAACGGCUCACCAAGGCGACGAUGCGUAGCCGACCUGAGAGGGUGAUCGGCCACACUGGGACUGAGACACGGCCCAGACUCCUACGGGAGGCAGCAGUAGGGAAUCUUCCGCAAUGGACGAAAGUCUGACGGAGCAACGCCGCGUGAGUGAUGAAGGUUUUCGGAUCGUAAAGCUCUGUUGUUAGGGAAGAACAAGUACCGUUCGAAUAGGGCGGUACCUUGACGGUACCUAACCAGAAAGCCACGGCUAACUACGUGCCAGCAGCCGCGGUAAUACGUAGGUGGCAAGCGUUGUCCAGACUUAUUGGGCGUAGAGCGCGCGCACGCGGUUUCUUAUGUCUGAUGUGAAAGCCCCGGCUCACCGGGGAGGGUCAUUGGAAC